rnacentral:rRNA from 1 species
UACGUAGGGUGCAAGCGUUGUCCGGAAUUAUUGGGCGUAAAGAGCUCGUAGGCGGUCUGUCGCGUCUGGUGUGAAAAUCCAGGACUUAACCCUGGACCUGCAUCGGGUACGGGCAGACUAGAGUGCGGUAGGGGAGAUCGGAAUUCCUGGUGUAGCGGUGAAAUGCGCAGAUAUCAGGAGGAACACCGGUGGCGAAGGCGGAUCUCUGGGCCGUAACUGACGCUGAGGAGCGAAAGCAUGGGGAGCGAACAGG